GAUCAUGGCUCAGGAUGAACGCUAGCUACAGGCUUAACACAUGCAGGUCGAGGGGCAGCAUGGUCUUAGCUUGCUAAGACUGAUAGCGACCGGCGCACGGGUGAGUAACACGUAUCCAACCUGCCGUCUACUCUUGGACAGCCUUCUGAAAGGAAGAUUAAUACAAGAUGGCAUCAUGAGUCCGCAUGUUCAUAUGAUUAAAGGUAUUCCGGUAGACGA
rnacentral:rRNA from 1 species